rnacentral:rRNA from 1 species
GUGAGGAAUAUUGGUCAAUGGGCGGGAGCCUGAACCAGCCAAGUCGCGUGAAGGAAGAAGGAUCUAUGGUUCGUAAACUUCUUUUGCAGGGGAAUAAAGUGCAGGACGUGUCCUGUUUUGUAUGUACCCUGAGAAUAAGGAUCGGCUAACUCCGUGCCAGCAGCCGCGGUAAUACGGAGGAUCCGAGCGUUAUCCGGAUUUAUUGGGUUUAAAGGGUGCGUAGGUGGUUUGAUAAGUCAUCGGUGAAAGUUUGCAGCUUAACUGUAAAAAUGCCGUGGAAACUGUCGGACUUGAGUGUAAAUGAGGUAGGCGGAAUGCGUGGUGUAGCGGUGAAAUGCAUAGAUAUCACGCAGAACUCCGAUUGCGAAGGCAGCUUACUAAGCUACAACUGACACUGAAGCACGAAAGCGUGGGGAUCAAACAGGAUUAGAAACCCGAGUAGUCC